UACGUAGGGACCAAGCGUUGUUCGGAUUUACUGGGCGUAAAGGGCGCGUAGGCGGCUUGACAAGUCACUUGUGAAAUCUCCGGGCUUAACUCGGAACGGCCAAGUGAAACUGUCAUGCUAGAGUGCAGAAGGGGCAAUCGGAAUUCCUGGUGUAGCGGUGAAAUGCGCAGAUAUCAGGAGGAACACCGGUGGCGAAGGCGGGUCUCUGGGCCGAUACUGACGCUGAGGAGCGAAAGCGUGGGGAGCGAACAGG
rnacentral:rRNA from 1 species